GAGCUGGAGGGGCUGCACUGCACCAAGCUUGCACAGGGCGAGGCGGGGGCAGGACACGGGACCCCGCCACCCCAGAGGAAACUGGAGAGGAAGCCAGUUCAGUCUUGCUCUCUGCCUGGGCCCAAUCCCCAGCUCUUACCAAAUGCAGAUCCCUUGGCUGAAUGCCUUUUAGUCUGCAUACAUGCGUCUCAUACCACAUAGCCCAAAUCUCUACAGCUUCGUCCAGGUGCAGUCUCCUCAGAACUACAAAGUAAGGAAAGAUCACCUUUGGACUCAAGUACUCACAGUCCUUCUCCCUCUCCCACAAAGCACAAUGACCAGGACAGUACCGAGCUUUGCAGUCAUAUUGGAUUCACCUCCAGCUCAGCACAUUCAACUCGAAUCAUUCAAAUCACCCUUUCCUGCUGGUAAAUGACACAAAAAUAUAAAGAGACUGAUCUCAGAGUACACAGAUCUACAACCACGUGAAGAACUGGAUUUAUAUCUGUCUGACUCUAGAAAGUUCCUGAGAUUCCUCUGCUUCAUCCUCUUGCCCUUGCCCUUUAAAAUACGUUUUCAAAUAGCAACAGGCGGUGCAAUCACUAGGCAAGUGAUUCUCAGCCUUUUUCUUUGUCAUUAGUACAUCCUGAAGGAGACGUGUUGGACGUAUUUUCCUGGUGAUCACUCCAUGAACUUUCUAUAACACAGGUGUACUGUGUAUCCGGUUAUGUACCAUCUGUACAUCUGUUUCUAAAACAUAGAAACAGUAAGCGCCCUUCUCCAAGAAUCCAUUUUCACCCCCUUGGGUGUGAUGUUAAAAAUGUGUGUGCUCGAAAUUCAGUCACAAACACAUUACAAAUGCAUAAUCGCUUAAGAAUGUUACCAAAGUUUAUGAGUUCGAGAUGAUAAAUCUAUGUUAUUUAGUUCAUCUUAGAGAACCAGAGAUUCUGGGAACCAGAGAACCAGAGAUUCCAGGGAAGUAGACCAAGCUGACAGAGCAAGGAAAGGCAGAACCAAACAUGCAGGCAAAGAGUCUGGAUUCCCAUUCUAGUGCUCCAGCUUAACCAGGAUGAUCAGUAAAGGGUUGCGUUUCAAUGUGCUCCCGGCACUUGCCUCAUGCCUCCUUGCAUUAGUAAAGAAAUGGCAUUUUGGGAGAAACCAGAAUCUGCCUGGGGGCCACGGAAAGGCAGCAAGGCAACCUGAUCCAAGUUUUCAGGGGAUUUUUCAGAAAGCAGAGUGUAUUAGUCUCCUAUUGCUACUGUAACAAAUUACUGUAAACUUAGUGACUUAAAAGAACACACAUUUGUUGUCUUAAAGUUCUGGAGGUCAGAGCCCAAAAUGGGUCUCCUGGAGCUAAAAUCCAGAUGUCAGGAGGGCUGUGUUCCUUUGGGAGGUCUUGGCGGGGAAUCCGUUCGGUGUCUUUUCCAGCUCCUGGAGGUCACCUGCUUGCUUUGGCUGUGGCACACUUCCAGCAACUGCGUCACUCUAAUCUCUACUUCCAUAGCACGUCACCCUUUCUGACUCCUGCCCUCUUCCUUCUUUCCUUUAUAAGCACACUUGCAGUCCAGGAUAAUCUCCCCAUUUCAAAGUCCUUUAUGUAAUCACAUCUGCAAAGUCCCUCUUGCCAUGUAAGGCAACACACUCGCAGAUUCCAGAAAUUAGAAUUUGGACAUCUUUGGGUGCCUGUUAUAAUGCCUACCACGCAGACCAAUGCAUGCUUAAUGUGACCAACCCGUCUUUGUUUGUCUGAGACUGUAUUGACUUUAACGUGGAGAGUUCUGCAUCCUAGGAAUUCCUACAGUCCCAGGCAAUUUAGGACAGUUCAUCGUCACCCCAUGCGCCCUUCCUAGGUGCUCCUUCAACUUAGAGAUUUGGUGUUUUCCCUCCCCUUGAGAGAACUAUUCACCUAAGACUACACAGAGGCUGGGUGUAGUGGCUUAUGCCUGUAAUCGCAAUGCAUUUGGAACACUGAGGCAGGAGGUUCCCUCGAGCCCAGGAGUGUGAGACCAUUCUGGGUAACAUGGUGAGACCCCUCCUCUACAAAUUUUUUUAAAAAGUUAGCUGGGUAUGAUGGCACAUGCCUGCAGUCACAGCUAGUUGGGAGGCUGAGGAGAAAGGAUCCUUUGGGACUGGAGUUCAAGGUUUCAGUGAGCUAUGAUAGUGCCACUGCACUGCAGCCUGGGCAACAAAAUGAGGGCCUGACUCUAAAAAUA